ACCAGGCAUGUUGGUGCAUGCCUGUAAUCCCAGUGGCUCAGGAGGCUGAGACAGGAGGAUCAUGAGUUGAAAGCCAGCUUCAGCAACAGUGAGGUGCUAAGCAACUCAGUGAGACCCUAUCUCUA
rnacentral:sRNA from 1 species